rnacentral:lncRNA from 1 species
AGUUCUGCGCUGUGAGCCGGGGCACAAAGAGCCCUCUGCACUCGCGCCGCAGGACCGCGGACCCAAGGUCCUUUCUCUGGCUGUGAUCCAUGCUUCUUCCUAGGGCAGGAUUACACUCUUUGAAUUUACUUCUUCAUCAAGGCAGUGCAGAGUGGUGGAAAGAGAAGCAGCUGAGUGCAGUUGGAGGCAUCUGUCCACCCAUGUGGUUCCAGACACGUUCAUGUGGCCACCAAGACCCCGUCGGCAUCACAGGAGUAACCAAGAGAGCAGCAAGUUCCUGGGACAGAGGAGAGAGAAGGGAAUUUCCAGGUUCUUCAGGACGUUCACAACCACACUGAGAAGCAUCUUUGCAGAUAAGUAUUUAAACUUACCAGCCCAUAGCCUACCAGCCUGCCCUCUUCUGGUCUGUGCAGGAAAGUGUAGUAUCCUAGAAUACCAAAGUGGGAGGGGAAACGGGUGAUGUAGCUCAUUCUCUUUUCUACCUCUAUGGAAGAAAGAAAGAGCCUGUCCCCAUUUUGUGGGGUCCCAGAAAGGGUGAUUUUUCACACUCCACAUUUGGCAUUAGGGCUAGUAUUUUAUAAACGUC